UGACCCGUCUUGAAACAAGGACCAAGGAGUCUAGCAUGUGCGCAAGUCAUGAGGUGUUAAACCUAAAGGCGCAACUAAAGUGACGUCCCCGAGACUCAGGGCGCCUCCGCGCGUCCUCUCUCUGUUGGGACAGGGGUGAUGGUCGGCGCUGCUUUCCGCAUCCGACCCGCAACCCCGGGAUGUCGACGUCUCGUUGAGACCAGAUGUCCUCUGAGCGUACAUGUUGGUACCCGAAAGAUGGUGACCUAUGCCUGGCCAGGACGAAGUCAGGGGAAACCCUGAUGGAGGUCCGAAGCGGUUCUGACGUGCAAAUCGAUCGCAUGAGCUGGGUAUAGGGGCGAAAGACUAAUCGAACCGUCUAGUAGCUGGUUCCUUCCGAA
rnacentral:rRNA from 1 species